GAGGUUACCAUCCAUAUUCUCUCUCUCUCUAAGCUUUUAAGGUAUUUUCCGUUGCUCUCUAUUGCUAACACACUUGGUAAAUAUGUGCUUAAAAAUGUUCAUCAGCUUAUGGAGACUCAGUCCAGUAGAAAAUUUUCCAAAAUGGCAUCACCAGAUCAAGGUGAAAGAAAUCAAUGUUUCCCCCCAUUCCAAAUUCAAGAUGUAAAGACUAAUGUAUUUUGAUCUUUGUAAAUUUAUGUUUUAUUUUAAUUAGUUGUGAUGUAUUAUUAUUUCUUUUGUUCUCUGUAAGUUUAUG